UUAAUUUAGCUGAUGGGUUUGAGCUUAGUGGAUUAGGAUCAUUGGCAGAAGCCAUGAUGUUGUGUGAUCGUGUCAUGCAAUUUUAG
rnacentral:tRNA from 1 species